AACAGGAUUAGAUACCCUGGUAGUCCACGCCGUAAACGAUGUCUACUUGGAGGUUGUGGCCUUGAGCCGUGGCUUUCGGAGCUAACGCGUUAAGUAGACCGCCUGGGGAGUACGGUCGCAAGAUUAAAACUCAAAUGAAUUGACGGGGGCCCGCACAAGCGGUGGAGCAUGUGGUUUAAUUCGAUGCAACGCGAAGAACCUUACCUACUCUUGACAUCCAGAGAACUUUCCAGAGAUGGAUUGGUGCCUUCGGGAACUCUGAGACAGGUGCUGCAUGGCUGUCGUCAGCUCGUGUUGUGAAAUGUUGGGUUAAGUCCCGCAACGAGCGCAACCCUUAUCCUUGUUUGCCAGCGAGUAAUGUCGGGAACUCCAGGGAGACUGCCGGUGAUAAACCGGAGGAAGGUGGGGACGACGUCAAGUCAUCAUGGCCCUUACGAGUAGGGCUACACACGUGCUACAAUGGCGCAUACAGAGGGCGGCCAACUUGCGAAAGUGAGCGAAUCCCAAAAAGUGCGUCGUAGUCCGGAUUGGAGUCUGCAACUCGACUCCAUGAAGUCGGAAUCGCUAGUAAUCGUGGAUCAGAAUGCCACGGUGAAUACGUUCCCGGGCCUUGUACACACCGCCCGUCACACCAUGGGAGUGGGCUGCAAAAGAAGUAGGUAGUUUAACCUUCGGGGGGACGCUUACCACUUUGUGGUUCAUGACUGGGGUGAAGUCGUAACAAGGUAGCGCUAGGGGAACCUGGCGCUGGAUCACCUCCUUAAACGAUGAU
rnacentral:rRNA from 1 species